GUCCACGCCCUAAACGAUGUCGACUGGUUGUUGGGGGUUUGACACUCUCAGUAACGAAGCUAACGCGUGAAGUCGACCGCCUGGGGAGUACGGCCGCAAGGUUAAAACUCAAAGGAAUUGACGGGGACCCGCACAAGCGGUGGAUUAUGUGGAUUAAUUCGAUGCAACGCGAAAAACCUUACCUACCCUUGACAUGUCCGGAAGCCUGAAGAGAUUUAGGUGUGCCCGAAAGGGAACUGGAACACAGGUGCUGCAUGGCUGUCGU
rnacentral:rRNA from 1 species